CGGCCUGUUGGGGUGAAGUGGGGUGGGGUCGGGGCGCGGCACAGCUUCCCAAGGAAGUCACAGGACCUCGCCUCGGGAUAUUCAGAAGUGCUAGUCCAGUUCUGGCAGCCUGAACUCUUCCUCCUCCAAGGGGUGCUGUACUCGGCGUGUGGGUUUUGAAGCAGUGGGCGUUCGACUUCAGAGUUGUUUUCCUUGAGGCGCUGAUACCGGCCUUGGCGGAGGAGAAUGACGGUAUUCAUGUGUUUCUGGGUGGUUGCCUGAACAAGGGAGUUCAGCCUUUGGGAGAUAAAGCAGGAUAUGAAGCCUGACCAGGUGGGAGGUCCUGAUGCCCUUCCCAGGACUGGGCACUGCGGUGGCCCCAGCACAGGGCAGGGCCCACCUGAAGCAGUGUGACCUGCUGAAGUUGUCCCGGCAGCAGAAGCAGCUCUGCGGGAGGGAGCCCAGCCUGGCUGAGACCCUGUGGGACGCCAUGCACCUCGGCCUGGAGUGCCAGUUCCAGUUCCGGCAUGAGCGCUGGAACUACAGCUUGGAGGCACGGUUCCAUAUGAGAAGAGUCCCGGGAUUAAUGAGGGGCAGUUGAAGACCAGGUGUGGCCCAGCCUCAGGUUUCGGGGAGCAGAGGAGCAAGGAAGAUCCAAGAGAAGAGGAGACACAAGUCCGGUCCUGGAGGAGCCCACAGAUGAGAGGGGGCAGAGAAUGAUAUUUGAGAACCAUCAUGCAUCACAGGAAGCCCCCGGCGCUUAUCUCAGCGGCCUCAGAAAUAGGCCGAUCCAAAUGGUCACACACUGACUUGGAGUCAAAAUGGCGGGUUUAGCCCCAGCUGUGGUGGCACCAGUUCCUGGAAUGAGUAAGAGAGUCUGGAAGAGCAAGGGGCUGAGAGCCUUCAGUGCCUGCAGAAAAGCCUGGGUUUGUAAGGGCAGCCAAGGCUGCAAAGGGACACAUGGUUUGAGCUCUUGAGCUCUUCAACACUGGGCUGUGACAAAUGGGGAUAAGGAAUAGCCUGUUUGCUGGUAUUUAGGGUACACUGGUCCCCAGAUAUCUCCUCCCACCUGUACUAUGGAAAUUUAUCAUGGGAAUUUCAUUUCUUUUUCUAGAGAUUCUUGGCUGCGUAGAAAUGCGGUCCUGGUCUCACUUGGCUACUGAGCCAUCCCAUAAACUUCAGUGAUAU
rnacentral:lncRNA from 1 species